rnacentral:rRNA from 1 species
GGGUUGUGAGGUUAAGCGACUAAGCGUACACGGUGGAUGCCCUGGCAGUCAGAGGCGAUGAAGGACGUGCUAAUCUGCGAUAAGCGUCGGUAAGGUGAUAUGAACCGUUAUAACCGGCGAUUUCCGAAUGGGGAAACCCAGUGUGUUUCGACACACUAUCAUUAACUGAAUCCAUAGGUUAAUGAGGCGAACCGGGGGAACUGAAACAUCUAAGUACCCCGAGGAAAAGAAAUCAACCGAGAUUCCCCCAGUAGCGGCGAGCGAACGGGGAGCAGCCCAGAGCCUGAAUCAGUGUGUGUGUUAGUGGAAGCGUCUGGAAAGGCGCGCGAUACAGGGUGACAGCCCCGUACACAAAAAUGCACAUACUGUGAGCUCGAUGAGUAGGGCGGGACACGUGGUAUCCUGUCUGAAUAUGGGGGGACCAUCCUCCAAGGCUAAAUACUCCUGACUGACCGAUAGUGAACCAGUACCGUGAGGGAAAGGCGAAAAGAACCCCGGCGAGGGGAGUGAAAAAGAACCUGAAACCGUGUACGUACAAGCAGUGGGAGCACGCUUCGGCGUGUGACUGCGUACCUUUUGUAUAAUGGGUCAGCGACUUAUAUUCUGUAGCAAGGUUAACCGAAUAGGGGAGCCGAAGGGAAACCGAGUCUUAACUGGGCGUUAAGUUGCAGGGUAUAGACCCGAAACCCGGUGAUCUAGCCAUGGGCAGGUUGAAGGUUGGGUAACACUAACUGGAGGACCGAACCGACUAAUGUUGAAAAAUUAGCGGAUGACUUGUGGCUGGGGGUGAAAGGCCAAUCAAACCGGGAGAUAGCUGGUUCUCCCCGAAAGCUAUUUAGGUAGCGCCUCGUGAAUUCAUCUCCGGGGGUAGAGCACUGUUUCGGCAAGGGGGUCAUCCCGACUUACCAACCCGAUGCAAACUGCGAAUACCGGAGAAUGUUAUCACGGGAGACACACGGCGGGUGCUAACGUCCGUCGUGAAGAGGGAAACAACCCAGACCGCCAGCUAAGGUCCCAAAGUCAUGGUUAAGUGGGAAACGAUGUGGGAAGGCCCAGACAGCCAGGAUGUUGGCUUAGAAGCAGCCAUCAUUUAAAGAAAGCGUAAUAGCUCACUGGUCGAGUCGGCCUGCG